rnacentral:rRNA from 1 species
GUACGGGGGGGGGCAAGCGUUGUUCGGAAUUACUGGGCGUAAAGGGCGCGUAGGCGGUUCGCUAAGUUGAAUGUGAAAACUCUGGGCUUAACCCAGAGCCUGCAUUCAAUACUGACGGGCUAGAGUUCUGGAGGGGAUAGCGGAAUUCCUGGUGUAGCGGUGAAAUGCGUAGAUAUCAGGAGGAACACCGGUGGCGAAGGCGGCUAUCUGGACAGAGUCUGACGCUGAGGCGCGAAAGCUAGGGGAGCAAACAGG